rnacentral:rRNA from 1 species
GACGAACGCUGGCGGCGUGCUUAACACAUGCAAGUCGAACGAUGAACUUGGAGCUUGCUCUGGGGGAUUAGUGGCGAACGGGUGAGUAACACGUGAGUAACCUGCCCUGGACUCUGGGAUAACUUCGAGAAAUCGGAGCUAAUACCGGAUAGGACCUUGCACCGCAUGGUGUGGGGUGGAAAGUUUUUCGGUUUGGGAUGGACUCGCGGCCUAUCAGCUUGUUGGUGAGGUAAUGGCUCACCAAGGCGUCGACGGGUAGCCGGCCUGAGAGGGUGACCGGGCACACUGGGACUGAGACACGGAUCAGACUCCUACGGGAGGCAGGAGUGGGGAAUAUUGCACAAUGGGCGCAAGCCUGAUGCAGCAAUGCCGCGUGCGGGAUGACGGCCUUCGUGUUGUAAACAGCUUUUAGUAGGGAAGAAGCCUUCGGGUGACGGUACCUGCAGAAAAAGGACCGGCUAACUACGUGCCAGCCGCCGCCGUAAGAC